GGCUCUUUGGUCUAGAGGUAUGAUUCUCGCUUUGGGUGCGAGAGGUCCCGGGUUCGAAUCCCGGAUGAGCCC
rnacentral:tRNA from 1 species